rnacentral:rRNA from 1 species
AUUGAACGCUGGCGGCAGGCUUAACACAUGCAAGUCGAGCGGGCGAGGUUGCUUCGGUAACUGAGCUAGCGGCGGACGGGUGAGUAAAGCUUAGGAAUCUGCCUAUUAGUGGGGGACAACAUUCCGAAAGGGAUGCUAAUACCGCAUACGUCCUACGGGAGAAAGCAGGGGAUCUUUAUGACCUUGCGCUAAUAGAUGGGCCUAAGUCGGAUUAGCUAGUUGGUGGGGUAAAGGCCUACCAAGGCGACGAUCUGUAGCGGGUCUGAGAGGAUGAUCCGCCACACUGGGACUGAGACACGGCCCAGACUCCUACGGGAGGCAGCAGUGGGGAAUAUUGGACAAUGGGGGGAACCCUGAUCCAGCCAUGCCGCGUGUGUGAAGAAGGCCUUUUGGUUGUAAAGCACUUUAAGCGAGGAGGAGGCUUACCUGGUUAAUACCUGGGAUAAGUGGACGUUACUCGCAGAAUAAGCACCGGCUAACUCUGUGCCAGCCGCCGCCGUAACAC